rnacentral:misc_RNA from 1 species
GAUGAAGAACGUAGCGAAAUGCGAUAUGUAGUGUGAAUUGCAGAAUUCAGUGAAUCAUCGAAUCUUUGAACGCACAUUGCGCCCUUUGGUAUUCCUUAGGGCAUGCCUGUUCGAGCGUCAUUUAAACCUUCAAGCUAAGCUUGGUGUUGGGUGACUGUCCGCUUCACGGCGGACUCGCCUCAAAAUUAUUGGCGGCCGGUACAUUGGCUUCGAGCGCAGCAGAAACGCGAACUCGGGCCCGUCGUAUUGGCUCCCAGAAGCUAUCUUCACAAUUUUGACCUCGGAUCAGGUAGGGAUACCCGCUGAACUUAAGCAUAUCAAUAAGCGGAGGA